rnacentral:rRNA from 1 species
AAAUUGAAGAGUUUGAUCAUGGCUCAGAUUGAACGCUGGCGGCAGGCCUAACACAUGCAAGUCGAACGGUAACAGGAAGCAGCUUGCUGCUUCGCUGACGAGUGGCGGACGGGUGAGUAAUGUCUGGGAAACUGCCUGAUGGAGGGGGAUAACUACUGGAAACGGUGGCUAAUACCGCAUAACGUCGCAAGACCAAAGAGGGGGACCUUCUGGCCUCUUGCCAUCAGAUGUGCCCAGAUGGGAUUAGCUUGUUGGUGAGGUAACGGCUCACCAAGGCGACGAUCCCUAGCUGGUCUGAGAGGAUGACCAGCCACACUGGAACUGAGACACGGUCCAGACUCCUACGGGAGGCAGCAGUGGGGAAUAUUGCACAAUGGGCGCAAGCCUGAUGCAGCCAUGCCGCGUGUAUGAAGAAGGCCUUCGGGUUGUAAAGUACUUUCAGCGGGGAGGAAGGUGUUG